GCUUCUGGAGGGGGGUGCGUCCUAUCAGGUAGUUGGUGAGGUAACUGCUCACCAAGCCUAUGACGGGUAGCCGGUCUGAGAGGAUGUCCGGCCGCAAUGGGACUGAGACACGGCCCAUACUCCUACGGGAGGCAGCAGUGGGGAAUUUUGCGCAAUGGACGAAAGUCUGACGCAGCAAUCUCGCGUGAAGGAUGAAGCAUUAAGGUGUGUAAACUUCUUUUUUGGUGGAAGACGAAUGACGGUACACCAAGAAUAAGGGACGGCUAACUACGUGCCAGCAGCCGCGGUAAUACGUAGGUCCCAAGUGUUAUCCGGAAUUACUGGGCGUAAAGAGUCUGUAGCCUGAUAUAUAAGUCUGUUUUCAAAUACCGCAGCUCAACUGCGGACAGGGAAUAGAUACUGUAUAUCUUGAGAUUGUUAGGGGUUAGUGGAAUUUCCGGUGGAGCGGUGAAAUGCGUUGAUAUCGGAAGGAACGCCAAAAGCGAAAGCAGCUAACUAUAACAAAUCUGACGGUCAGAGACGAAAGCUUGGGUAGCAAAUGGGAUUAGAUACCCCGGUAGUCCAAGCUGUAAAUUUUGCUUGCUAGGUGUUUUGACCCGCUCUGCGGGUUGGAGUGCCGUAAUCUAACGAGUUAAGCAAGCCGCCUGGGUAGUAUAUUCGCAAGAAUGAAACUCAAAGGGAUAGGCGGGGGAACACACAAGCAGUGGAUUGUCUCGAUUAAUUGGAUAUUAAGCCAAAAAUCUUACCUAGACUUGACAUGUACUGUGUCCAAUGCGAAAGUAUUGUAGUCCGGUUUCGGCCGGACACGGUAUACAGGUGGUGCAUGGUCGUCGUCAGCUCGUGCCGCAAGGUGUCCAGUUAAGUCUGGGAACGAGCGCAACCCUCACUCUAUGUUA
rnacentral:rRNA from 1 species